AUACGUAGGGGGCGAGCGUUGUCCGGAAUGAUUGGGCGUAAAGGGCGCGUAGGCGGCGCGGUAAGUCUGGAGUGAAAGUCCUGCUUUCAAGGUGGGAAUUGUUUUGGAUACUGCCGCGCUUGAGUGCAGGAGAGGUUAUCGGAAUUCCCGGUGUAGCGGUGAAAUGCGUAGAGAUCGGGAGGAACACCAGUGGCGAAGGCGGGUAACUGGACUGCAACUGACGCUGAGGCGCGAAAGUGUGGGGAGCAAACAGGAUUAGAUACCCUGGUAGUCCACACUGUAAACGAUGAAUGCUAGGUGUAAGAGGUAUCGACCCCUUUUGUGCCGGAGUCAACACAAUAAGCAUUCCGCCUGGGGAGUACGGCCGCAAGGUUGAAACUCAAAGGAAUUGACGGGG
rnacentral:rRNA from 1 species